rnacentral:rRNA from 1 species
GACGAACGCUGGCGGCGUGCUUAACACAUGCAAGUCGAACGGAAAGGCCCUGCUUUUGUGGGGUGCUCGAGUGGCGAACGGGUGAGUAACACGUGAGUAACCUGCCCUUGACUUUGGGAUAACUUCAGGAAACUGGGGCUAAUACCGGAUAGGAGCUCCUGCUGCAUGGUGGGGGUUGGAACGUCUCGGCGGUUGGGGAUGGACUGGCGGCUUAUCAGCUUGUUGGUGGGGUAGUGGCUUACCAAGGCUUUGACGGGUAGCCGGCCUGAGAGGGUGACCGGCCACAUUGGGACUGAGAUACGGCCCAGACUCCUACGGGAGGCAGCAGUGGGGAAUAUUGCACAAUGGGCGGAAGCCUGAUGCAGCAACGCCGCGUGCGGGAUGACGGCCUUCGGGUUGUAAACCGCUUUCGCCUGUGACGAAGCGUGAGUGACGGUAAUGGGUAAAGAAGCACCGGCUAACUACGUG